CUCGAAAGACUGAACACAGAUUGAGAAGAAAACUGCCUCCGCAUUCUCCUCCAUCGUGGUUUAAUCAGAUGAACCUUCUUCUCAUAACCUUUCUCUGCUGAAUUUUCGUUUUCAUUUUCUUGUAUCAUUAAACAUGUUGAUGUGAAGAAUCGUGGACAGAUCGAGAUUCGAAAUCAGGUUUUCAGUAUUUUUGGUUUAAAAUUCAGGGUUUUCCUAUUCUAGCUGUCAAUAGGAUGAUUUGAAGAUCGGGUUUAGUGAUUUGUAAAAAACAGGCAGAAGACGAUUUGCAGAUGGCUAUUUACAUAUGUUUCCCAGCAGCACGAAAGUCUGUAGGAGGAACUAGGCUAAAGAAGAUACUAAGGAACAAAGGAAAAGGCAAGUCUACUUACAAUAUACCUGAAGCUGCUAAAAAAAAGGUUUUAAUGAAAGCAAACAAUUCAUGGAAAUAUAAAAAGACCACCCUUAAUGUGAUCUGUGAUGAAGCUCUAAGAAAUGGAAUUGUUGUUGAGUUUAGAAAUAAUGCGCUUGAAGGCAUAAAAACAAGAAGACUGGCCUGACUUUUUAAAUAUAUAUAUAUAUAUAUUUUUCCAAGAAAUUUCAAGAAGCUAGGGAAAGAGGGAAGGUUGCAAGGUCCAAUGUAAAGACUCCCUAUAGCACUGGUAGAAAAGGCAUUCCAAGAGUGGAACAUAAGAUGGUACUACUUUAUUUUAUUAUUAACUUCUAAUUGCAUUGAUCUGUGUUAGUGUUGAGUGAAAUUACCGCCCAUUUUUAGUAGUCAACUAGCUUGUAAUAUGAACUUGUGUGUAAUGUUAUCACAAGAGAAAAAAGAGAGCCCAGAUGGUGAGGUGGACAGACCUGUAUCGUGUAUGGCUACACAUGUCUACAAGAAUAACCCAGGUGAUCCGUUACAUCUCAAACAUGUUGUACCAAAGAAGGACUUUGGAUGUGAUGGAAAGGGCUAUGUAUGUGGGAUGGGUGGCGAGGUAUCGAAGACAGAAAUACUUGCUUCUUGAGCUUGUAGGGAACAAUUAUUUAUUGAGAAAUCGAACAAUCAAGGUCUUCAAACUCAUCUAAAUACUUUAGAAGCAAGGUUUAAUGUUUUCGAGGAAGGCAGGCAGGAUACUGCUCAACCCUCCUCUGUUGCUCCAAAGCAGAAUCUAGUAACUCGACGCGUCUUGAGAAAUUUAAAGAAGACAGCAGUUGCAAUUGGACGUGUUAAUUUCAGUAUAAAUGGUGAAAAUUAUGAAGUGCUUAUCGAAAGAAAUAAGGAACUAUGAGUUGGAGAUGGAACACUUUGAGGUAUUUAUCUUGGCGAGAUGAUUAAAUGGCCAAAGAAAUACGUUACUCUUGCGCUUGGAUGUUAAAUCACACUGUUUUUAUUGUUUAUUGUUGUUUUGAACAUGAAGUAGAUUUUUUUGUUAAUUUAGAGAUGUUUGGAGUUGUUAAGUUAACCGAAUUCAAGGUUUAUUUUAAUUUAAUGAGUUGCAUUUUCUU